rnacentral:rRNA from 1 species
UGGGGAAUCUUCCGCAAUGGACGAAAGUCUGACGGAGCAACGCCGCGUGAACGAUGACGGCCUUCGGGUUGUAAAGUUCUGUUAUACGGGACGAAUGGUACGACGGUCAAUACCCGUCGUAAGUGACGGUACCGUAAGAGAAAGCCACGGCUAACUACGUGCCAGCAGCCGCGGUAAUACGUAGGUGGCAAGCGUUGUCCGGAAUUAUUGGGCGUAAAGGGCGCGCAGGCGGCGUCGUAAGUCGGUCUUAAAAGUGCGGGGCUUAACCCCGUGAGGGGACCGAAACUGCGAUGCUAGAGUAUCGGAGAGGAAAGCGGAAUUCCUAGUGUAGCGGUGAAAUGCGUAGAUAUUAGGAGGAACACCAGUGGCGAAAGCGGCUUUCUGGACGACAACUGACGCUGAGGCUCGAAAGCGUGGGGAGCGAACAGGAUUAGAUACCCUGGUAGUCCACGCCGUAAACGAUGAAUGCUAGGUAUAGGAGGUAUCGACCCCUCCUGUGCCGGAGUUAACGCAAUAAGCAUUCCGCCUGGGGAGUACGGCCGCAAGGCUG